UACGUAGGGCGCAGGCGUUGUCCGGAAUUAUUGGGCGUAAAGAGCUCGUAGGCGGUUUGUCGCGUCUGCUGUGAAAACCCGAGGCUCAACCUCGGGCCUGCAGUGGGUACGGGCAGACUAGAGUGCGGUAGGGGAGAUUGGAAUUCCUGGUGUAGCGGUGGAAUGCGCAGAUAUCAGGAGGAACACCGAUGGCGAAGGCAGAUCUCUGGGCCGUAACUGACGCUGAGGAGCGAAAGCAUGGGGAGCGAACAGG
rnacentral:rRNA from 1 species